GAAAGGAUAUAAAGUUACCCUUCUAAGGUAGAUAAGGUUAUUAAUUAACCACCUUUUU
rnacentral:tRNA from 1 species